rnacentral:rRNA from 1 species
UACGGAGGGUGCAAGCGUUAUCCGGAUUCACUGGGUUUAAAGGGUGCGUAGGUGGGCAGGUAAGUCAGUGGUGAAAUCUCCGGGCUUAACCCGGAAACUGCCAUUGAUACUAUCUGUCUUGAAUACCGUGGAGGUGAGCGGAAUAUGUCAUGUAGCGGUGAAAUGCUUAGAUAUGACAUAGAACACCAAUUGCGAAGGCAGCUCACUAGACGAAUAUUGACACUGAGGCACGAAAGCGUGGGGAUCAAACAGG